UUUGUUAAUUAAUAACUAAUGGGAGAGGGCCCAGCCCCUUUUGGAUGAUGCCCUCCCUGGGCUGGUGGCCCUGGGUUCUACAAGAAAGCACGCUUAGCAAGCCAGUAAGCAGCACCCGUCCAUGGCCUCUGCAUCAGCUCCUGCCUGCAGGUUCCUACCGUUUUGGUUCCUUUAGUGAGAACUACAAUGUCAAAGUAUCGACGAUGCCACGACAAAAGAAGCUUCCUGGCCCAAAACAGCCAGCGGCAGCAUGGAUUGUGGACCUCAACAUGACCCCAGGUGGCAGCAUAGACCACAAACGCCAACAAGGCCCUCCCUCUGCGGGAGCAUGGACCGCAGAUACCAACUUGGCCUCUGGCCGCAGCCCUGACCACAAACACUCAUGUGUUCUCUAGCAGUAGUAUGGACCAAGGACAUCAACAUAUCCCCAACCCCACCUUCCACCCCCACUGCAGCAUGUAACAUCCACGUGGCCUUUGGCAGCAACACAGACCCAUGGGUAUCAACAUCCCGCAACAGCAACAGCAGCGGCACGAACCAUGGACGUCUUUUCAGGUGGUCCAAUCCAGGAAAUGAACUGUUCUCCAUCUUGGAAGCCCUGUCUCUGCUCAGAGCUGAGAGAGAUCUGUAGCCUGGGCAGUGUGCUGGGGGCAGAGGCUGUGAGGGCUCCAGGCUCCAGGCUACUCAGGAACAACAGCUCCCCCACCCCCCGCUGCACCCCACCACAGCCUCACCCCCACGUCUGUCAUGAGCAGCUCCAUCUGCUAACUCUGCCCCACCUCUCUAUCACACGUAUAUUCACCGAAGUGGCAUUAAAACCUGCAGCGUCUC